rnacentral:rRNA from 1 species
AGCGAACGCUGGCGGCAGGCCUAACACAUGCAAGUCGAACGAACCUUUCGGGGUUAGUGGCGGACGGGUGAGUAACACGUGGGAACGUGCCUUUAGGUUCGGAAUAACUCAGGGAAACUUGUGCUAAUACCGAAUGUGCCCUUCGGGGGAAAGAUUAAUCGCCUUUAGAGCGGCCCGCGUCUGAUUAGCUAGUUGGUUGAGGUAAUGGCUCACCAAGGCGACGAUCAGUAGCUGGUCUGAGAGGAUGCUCAGCCACAUUGGGACUGAGACACGGCCCAAACUCCUACGGGAGGCAGCAGUGGGGAAUCUUGCGCAAGGGGCGAAAGCGUGACGAAGCCAUGCCGCGUGAAUGAUGAAGGUCUUAGGAUUGUAAAAUUCUUUCACCGGGGACGAUAAUGACGGUACCCGGAGAAGAAGCCCCGGCUAACUUCGUG